AUGAUCGGUGACAAUGAAUGCUACGAAUGUUCGCUUCCACUAAUGUCGUAUAAGAAUUGUGAGGUGCCCAUAGCUUCCCGGAAAGAAGAAGAGUCAUUGUCAUUUCCUGACCGAUAUGAAUGCACAUAUUUACCCUCGCCUCGGGAAAUACCACCAGUAGAGUCUGCAGAAGGUGUCGUUCAGGAGAGAUGCUGGGCUCUAGAUAUGCGAGUGAGAUACCCGCCCUCGGUCAUGACCUGGGUUGAAGAAGGAAUCUAUGUUCUUGGAAGCAAAGAAAGAACUCCGGUAUUCCGACCUUAUCUUUUUGCUCAAAGAACGAAUCAAACCCCUUGUCGAAGCCCUUUAUGA
rnacentral:rRNA from 1 species